CAUGAUUUACAUUUGAGUGAGUGGCGAACUGGUGAGUAACACGUGGGAAACCUGCCCAGAAGCGGGGGAUAACACCUGGAAACAGAUGCUAAUACCGCAUAACAACUUGGACCGCAUGGUCCGAGUUUGAAAGAUGGCUUCGGCUAUCACUUUUGGAUGGUCCCGCGGCGUAUUAGCUAGAUGGUGGGGUAACGGCUCACCAUGGCAAUGAUACGUAGCCGACCUGAGAGGGUAAUCGGCCACAUUGGGACUGAGACACGGCCCAAACUCCUACGGGAGGCAGCAGUAGGGAAUCUUCCACAAUGGACGAAAGUCUGAUGGAGCAACGCCGCGUGAGUGAAGAAGGGUUUCGGCUCGUAAAACUCUGUUGUUAAAGAAGAACAUAUCUGAGAGUAACUGUUCAGGUAUUGACGGUAUUUAACCAGAAAGCCACGGCUAACUACGUGCCAGCAGCCGCGGUAAUACGUAGGUGGCAAGCGUUGUCCGGAUUUAUUGGGCGUAAAGCGAGCGCAGGCGGUUUUUUAAGUCUGAUGUGAAAGCCUUCGGCUCAACCGAAGAAGUGCAUCGGAAACUGGGAAACUUGAGUGCAGAAGAGGACAGUGGAACUCCAUGUGUAGCGGUGAAAUGCGUAGAUAUAUGGAAGAACACCAGUGGCGAAGGCGGCUGUCUGGUCUGUAACUGACGCUGAGGCUCGAAAGUAUGGGUAGCAAACAGGAUUAGAUACCCUGGUAGUCCAUACCGUAAACGAUGAAUGCUAAGUGUUGGAGGGUUUCCGCCCUUCAGUGCUGCAGCUAACGCAUUAAGCAUUCCGCCUGGGGAGUACGGCCGCAAGGCUGAAACUCAAAGGAAUUGACGGGGGCCCGCACAAGCGGUGGAGCAUGUGGUUUAAUUCGAAGCUACGCGAAGAACCUUACCAGGUCUUGACAUACUAUGCAAAUCUAAGAGAUUAGACGUUCCCUUCGGGGACAUGGAUACAGGUGGUGCAUGGUUGUCGUCAGCUCGUGUCGUGAGAUGUUGGGUUAAGUCCCGCAACGAGCGCAACCCUUAUUAUCAGUUGCCAGCAUUAAGUUGGGCACUCUGGUGAGACUGCCGGUGACAAACCGGAGGAAGGUGGGGAUGACGUCAAAUCAUCAUGCCCCUUAUGACCUGGGCUACACACGUGCUACAAUGGAUGGUACAACGAGUUGCGAACUCGCGAGAGUAAGCUAAUCUCUUAAAGCCAUUCUCAGUUCGGAUUGUAGGCUGCAACUCGCCUACAUGAAGUCGGAAUCGCUAGUAAUCGCGGAUCAGCAUGCCGCGGUGAAUACGUUCCCGGGCCUUGUACACACCGCCCGUCACACCAUGAG
rnacentral:rRNA from 2 species